UAUAAAACGCCAAUAAACCCCCAAAAAAUCCCAAAUAAAUCCCGAAUAAAUCCUCAAUAAAUCCCAUAUAAAUCCCCAAUAAACCCCCAAUAAAUCCCAAAUAAAUCCCAUAUAAACUCCCAAUAAAUCCCAUAUAAACUCCCAAUAAAUCCCCAAAAAUCCUAUAUAAAUCCCCAAAAAAUCCCCAAUAAAUCCCAUAUAAAUCCCAUAUAAAACCCCAAUAAACCCCCAAUAAAUCCCCAAUAAAUCCCAUAUGAAAUCCCCAAUAAAUCCCAUAUAAAUCCCCAAUAAAUCCCAUAUAAAACCCCAAUAAAUCCCAUAUAAAUCCCCAAUAAAUCCCAUACAAAUCCCAUAUAAAUCCCAUAUAAAUCCCAUAUAACUCCCCAACAAAUCCCCAAUAAAUUCCAUAUAAAUUCCCAAUAAAUCCCAUAUAAAUUCCCAAUAAAUCCCAUAUAAAAGCCCAAUAAAUGCCAUAUAAACCCCCAAUAAAUCCCAUAUAAAACCCCAAUAAAUCCCCAAAAUAUCCCAUAUAAACCCCCAAAAAUCCCCAAUAAAUCCCAUAUAAAAUCCCAUAUAAAUCCCAUAUAAAACCCCAAUAAAUCCCCAAUAAAUCUGCCAUAAAUCCCAUCUAAAUCCCAUAUAAAACCCCAAUAAAUCCCAUAUAAAUCCCCAAUAAAUCCCAUAUAAAAUCCAUAUAAAUCUCAUAUAAAACCCCAAUAAAUCCUGUAUAAAUCCCGUAUAAAAUCCAUAUAAACCUGCUCGGGGUUGCUGAGGUUCUCGGACUCCUCCAGGACGUUUUCCCCCACGAAGAUCUCGGGGUUGCUGAGGUUCUCGGACUCCUCCAGGACGUUUUCCCCCACGAAAAUCUCGGGGUGGGCAAAGAGCAGCUCCAGCAGCUCCUCGAUGCAGCCCAGGCACUUCUGCCAUAGCUCAGGCUAAAAAUAAAUUAAAAAAUUUAUAAAAAAAUCCCA
ensembl:lncRNA